GGAGUUAGCCGGUGCUUCUUCUGUGAGUGAUGUCCUUCCUGCCGGUUAUUGACCCGCAGGCCUUCUUCCUCACUGAAAGUGCUUUACAACCCGAAGGCCUUCUUCACACACGCGGCAUGGCUGGAUCAGGGUUGCCCCCAUUGUCCAAUAUUCCCCACUGCUGCCUCCCGUAGGAGUCUGGGCCGUGUCUCAGUCCCAGUGUGGCUGAUCAUCCUCUCAGACCAGCUACGGAUCGUCGCCUUGGUGAGCCGUUACCUCACCAACCAGCUAAUCCGACAUAGGCUCAUCCGAUAGCGCGAGGCCCGAAGGUCCCCCGCUUUCCCCCGUAGGGCGUAUGCGGUAUUAGCCUGGGUUUCCCCAGGUUAUCCCCCACUACCGGGCAGAUUCCUAUGCAUUACUCACCCGUCCGCCGCUCGCCACCAGGGAGCAAGCUCCCCGUGCUGCCGCUCGACUUGCAUGUGUUAGGCCUGCCGCCAGCGUUCAAUCUGAGCCAGAAUCAAACCUCUGA
rnacentral:rRNA from 1 species